rnacentral:rRNA from 1 species
UGGGGAAUUGUUCGCCAUGGGCGCAAGCCUGACGACGCAACGCCGCGUGGAGGAUGAAGGUCUUCGGAUUGUAAACUCCUGUUGCCCGGGACGAAUGGCUCCAACCUAAUACGUUGGAGUGUGACGGUAACGGGUGAGGACGCCCCGGCUAACUCUGUGCCAGCAGCCGCGGUAAUACAGAGGGGGCAAGCGUUGUUCGGAAUUACUGGGCGUAAAGGGCGCGUAGGCGGCCUGCUAAGUCGAACGUGAAAUCCCUGGGCUCAACCCAGGAACUGCGUCCGAUACUGGUUGGCUUGAAUCCGGGAGAGGGAUGUGGAAUUCCAGGUGUAGCGGUGAAAUGCGUAGAUAUCUGGAGGAACACCGGUGGCGAAGGCGACAUCCUGGACCGGCAUUGACGCUGAGGCGCGAAAGCCAGGGGAGCAAA